GCAUUGGUGGUUCAGGGGUAGAAUUCUCAUCCUCCAUGUAGGAGACCCAGGUUCGAUUCCUGGCAAAAGUA
rnacentral:tRNA from 1 species